rnacentral:rRNA from 1 species
UACGGAGGGGGCUAGCGUUGUUCGGAAUUACUGGGCGUAAAGCGCGCGCAGGCGGUUCUUCAAGUCAGUGGUGAAAGCCCGGAGCUCAACUCCGGAACUGCCAUUGAAACUGUGGAACUUGAGGAUGAGAGAGGUGAGUGGAAUUCCCAGUGUAGAGGUGAAAUUCGUAGAUAUUGGGAAGAACACCGGUGGCGAAGGCGGCUCACUGGCCCGUAACUGACGCUCAUGCACGACAGCGUGGGGAUCAAACAGG